rnacentral:rRNA from 1 species
GUGAGUAGUUCAGAGUUUGAUCCUGGCUCAGGACGAACGCUGGCGGCGUGCCUAACACAUGCAAGUCGAACGGAGUUACCCUUCGGGGUAGCUUAGUGGCGAACGGGUGAGUAACGCGUGAAGAACCUGCCUUUCAGUGGGGGACAACAGUUGGAAACGACUGCUAAUACCGCAUAAUGUCAUUUGGGGGCAUCCCUGAAUGACCAAAGAUUUAUUGCUGAAAGAUGGCUUCACGUCUGAUUAGCUAGUUGGUGAGGUAACGGCCCACCAAGGCGACGAUCAGUAGCCGGUCUGAGAGGAUGAACGGCCACAUUGGGACUGAGAUACGGCCCAG